rnacentral:rRNA from 1 species
UCUUGGUCAUUUAGAGGAAGUAAAAGUCGUAACAAGGUUUCCGUAGGUGAACCUGCGGAAGGAUCAUUAAUGAAUUGUAAAUGGGGGCUGAUGCUGGCAGUUGAUUCUUCAGCUGUAUUGUGCACGCUUCUAACAAUCUUUAUCCAAACACUUGUGCACCUUUGAAAGAAGGGGGGAAACCCUCCCCUUCUUAUUUACAUACACCGCUUCUAUAAUGUCGAAUGUGAUCUUGUGCCUUUUCCUUUAAGGAGGGCCUGACUUAAUGUUAAUACAACUUUUAACAACGGAUCUCUUGGCUCUCGCAUCGAUGAAGAACGCAGCGAAAUGCGAUAAGUAAUGUGAAUUGCAGAAUUCAGUGAAUCAUCGAAUCUUUGAACGCACCUUGCGCUCCCCGGUAUUCCAGGGAGCACACCUGUUCGAGUGUCGUGAAAUUCUCAAGCUUAUAGAUUGUUUUUCAUCUUAGGCUUGGUUGUUGGGCUUUGCCGUGCCCCUCUUUAUUGAGGGAACGGCUGGCCUUAAAAGCAUUAGCUGACUCUCGUGUAGGAUUGGUUCUACUCAGCGUGAUAAUAAUUCUGACCGCCGAGGACAUCUUUCGGGAUGGCCAAUUCUUGCUUGGGUUAAUUCUAAGGCUGGUUUCAGAUCUCGAUAUCUGUUCCACUAUCAAACUAGCGCGGUCAKGUUWGAGAUCUAMWRAAACWUKG